rnacentral:rRNA from 1 species
AACGAACGCUGGCGGCAUGCCUAACACAUGCAAGUCGAACGAGACCUUCGGGUCUAGUAGCGCACGGGUGCGUAACGCGUGGGAACCUGCCCUUAGGUUCGGAAUAACUCCCCGAAAGGGGUGCUAAUACCGGAUAAUGUCUUCGGACCAAAGAUUUAUCGCCUUUGGAUGGGCCCGCGUUGGAUUAGCUAGUUGGUAGGGUAAAAGCCUACCAAGGCGACGAUCCAUAGCUGGUCUGAGAGGAUGAUCAGCCACACUGGGACUGAGACACGGCCCAGACUCCUACGGGAAGCAGCAGUGGGGAAUAUUGGACAAUGGGCGAAAGCCUGAUCCAGCAAUGCCGCGUGAGUGAUGAAGGCCUUAGGGUUGUAAAGCUCUUUUACCCGGGAUGAUAAUGACAGUACCGGGAGAAUAAGCUCCGGCUAACUCCGUG